GGCAGCGAUGGACACUGCAGCCAGCCAGAGCGUAGAAAGGCGUUGGGUGAAAGAAGAUGGCCAUGGAGACAGACAGCAGCAUGGUCAGAGUGGUAGGAGCCGGCCAUCAGCGAGAGCUGCUCCAUGCCUGGCUGCUGGAUGCUAGAGCCUGCGGCCCACUGGCUUGCCUCACUGUGGUUGCUGGUGGUGGUGACAGAGACUGCAGCAUGAACAGAGUGGCUUUUCUGGCUUUGCCUGCCCAGCUGCUCCGUGCCAGGAGGAGGAGGAGACACCUUGAGCCUGCGACACCACGGCUUGCCUCGCUGCGGGUGGGUGGCAGUGACGGAGAUUGCAGUGCGCCAGAGCGGUAGGAGAGCGGCCGCACUAGGAGGGCAGGUGGCUGCAGCCAGGGUUGGGGUUCAGGCUUACAGCGAUGGACGGGCUGCAGCAGUGGCCAGGUGGUAGGAGCCUUGUAGGGAGGGCUGGUGCAUUGGCAAUGGGCCUGGCUUUGCCCUGCGCCUGCCAUGGAUCUGGCCCUGUACUGCCCUGCCUUGCCCUAUACCUGCUCUACUGUUACCUGGACUCUCGGCCCUGUCCUGCUCUGCUCCCAUCCUGACCCUGUCUUGGCCCUGUGCUACCCUGUCCCUGCCCUGGUCUUGCCCUGGCACUGGCCCUGCCCUGAACCUGCACUGGCCUGACCUUGGCUCUGGCCCUGGCUCUGGCCCUGCCCCUUGUCC
rnacentral:lncRNA from 1 species